rnacentral:rRNA from 1 species
CCUACGGGAGGCAGCAGUGAGGAAUAUUGGUCAAUGGACGAGAGUCUGAACCAGCCAAGUAGCGUGAAGGAUGACUGCCCUAUGGGUUGUAAACUUCUUUUAUAUGGGAAUAAAAUGUUCCACGUGUGGGAUUUUGUAUGUACCAUAUGAAUAAGGAUCGGCUAACUCCGUGCCAGCAGCCGCGGUAAUAUGGAGGAUCCGAGCGUUAUCCGGAUUUAUUGGGUUUAAAGGGAGCGUAGGUGGAUUGUUAAGUCAGUUGUGAAAGUUUGCGGCUCAACCGUAAAAUUGCAGUUGAAACUGGCAGUCUUGAGUACAGUAGAGGUGGGCGGAAUUCGUGGUGUAGCGGUGAAAUGCUUAGAUAUCACGAAGAACUCCGAUUGCGAAGGCAGUUCACUGGACUGCAACUGACACUGAGGCUCGAAAGUGUGGGUAUCAAACAGGAUUAGUUACCCCGGUAGUC